rnacentral:rRNA from 1 species
AUUGAACGCUGGCGGCAGGCCUAACACAUGCAAGUCGAACGAGCGGCGGACGGGUGAGUAAUGUCUGGGAAACUGCCUGAUGGAGGGGGAUAACUACUGGAAACGGUAGCUAAUACCGCAUACCAUGGGAAGUGCCCAGAUGGGAUUAGCUAGUCGGUGGGGUAACGGCUAACCUAGGCGACGAGCCCUAGCUGGUCUUAAAGGAUGACCAGCCACACUGGAACUGAGACACGGUCCAGACUCCUACGGGAGGCAGCAGUGGGGAAUAUUGCACAAGGGGCGCAAGCCUGAUGCAGCCAUGCCGCGUGUGUGAAGAAGGCCUUCGGGUUGUAAAGCACUUUCAGCGAGGAGGCGUUACUCGCAGAAGAAGCACCGGCUAACUCCGUGCCAGCAGCCGCGGUAAUUC